GAUGAACGCUGGCGGCGUGCCUAAUACAUGCAAGUCGAGCGAACAGACGAGGAGCUUGCUCCUCUGACGUUAGCGGCGGACGGGUGAGUAACACGUGGAUAACCUACCUAUAAGACUGGGAUAACUUCGGGAAACCGGAGCUAAUACCGGAUAAUAUAUUGAACCGCAUGGUUCAAUAGUGAAAGACGGUUUUGCUGUCACUUAUAGAUGGAUCCGCGCCGCAUUAGCUAGUUGGUAAGGUAACGGCUUACCAAGGCGACGAUGCGUAGCCGACCUGAGAGGGUGAUCGGCCACACUGGAACUGAGACACGGUCCAGACUCCUACGGGAGGCCGCAGUAGGGAAUCUUCCGCAAUGGGCGAAAGCCUGACGGAGCAACGCCGCGUGAGUGAUGAAGGUCUUCGGAUCGUAAAACUCUGUUAUUAGUGAAGAACAAAUGUGUAAGUAACUAUGCACGUCUUGACGGUACCUAAUCAGAAAGCCACGGCUAACUACGUG
rnacentral:rRNA from 1 species